rnacentral:snRNA from 1 species
AGCUAUGCAUUGAGCACAAAGCAAAAUAGUCUUUAACUUUUUACUAAAGAAUACCACGUGCGCAUUAUAAAUAAGUAGUAUACUCCAAUUUUUGAGAGGUUACUCUUUUAUUGAGUU